UACGUAGGGCGCAAGCAUUGUCCGGAAUUAUUGGGCGUAAAGAGCUCGUAGGCGGCUUGUCACGUCGGGUGUGAAAGCCCGGGGCUUAACCCCGGGUCUGCAUUCGAUACGGGCAGGCUUGAGUUCGGUAGGGGAGAUCGGAAUUCCUGGUGUAGCGGUGAAAUGCGCAGAUAUCAGGAGGAACACCGGUGGCGAAGGCGGAUCUCUGGGCCGAUACUGACGCUGAGGAGCGAAAGCGUGGGGAGCGAACAGG
rnacentral:rRNA from 1 species